AUUGAACGCUGGCGGCAGGCUUAACACAUGCAAGUCGAACGAGUGGCGGACGGGUGAGUAAUGUUUGGGAAUCUAGCUUAUGGUGGGGGAUAACUACGGGAAACUGUAUCUAAUCCCGCGUACCAUAGGAUGUGCCCAAGUGGGAUUAGCUAGUUGGUGAGGUAAAGGCUCACCAAGGCGACGAUCCCUAGCUGGUCUGAGAGGAUGACCAGCCACACGGGGACGGAGACACGGCCCAGAUUCCUCCGGGAGGAAGCAGUGGGGAAUAUUGCGCAAUGGGGGCAAGCCUGACGCAGCCAUGCCGCGUGAAUGAAGAAGGCCUGCGGGUUGUAAAGUACUUUCAGUAGGGAGGCGUUAACUACAGAAGAAGCACCGGCUAACUCCGUGCCAGCAGCCGCGGUAAUUC
rnacentral:rRNA from 1 species